GCUCUAUGAUGAUAUGAAGGCAAAUGUGAUCUCAUUGGCUGGGCUGCACCCUCAACCCGUCCCUGAUAUAGGUCUGUAAUCUUGGCAGGCAGUGCAGAGUUUGUGUGCGUUUGCUGUAAGGGCAGACCGACAUAAAGUCCCAUUUUCCAUUUCAUUCCUCGAAGGGAGUAUGCCUGCCCUUAGCAAGUGGUCCUAGGGGCUGGACUGAGCAGGGCAUGGGGACAGAAUGAACUUGGUGUCUUUGGGUCCUGGGUCUCAGGGUGUAGUCCAGAUUAUGGCCAGUGAGGCAUGAGCACAGUUCUUUGGUAAUCUGAGGGCU
ensembl:snoRNA SCARNA10 small nucleolar RNA U85